rnacentral:rRNA from 1 species
GUCCACGCCGUAAACGAUGGGUGCUAGGUGUGGGGGGUGUCGACUCCCUCCGUGCCGAAGCUAACGCAUUAAGCACCCCGCCUGGGGAGUACGGCCGCAAGGCUAAAACUCAAAGGAAUUGACGGGGGCCCGCACAAGCAGCGGAGCAUGUGGUUUAAUUCGACGCAACGCGAAGAACCUUACCUAGGCUUGACAUGCAUAAGAAUGGCGUGGAAACACGUCAGCCUUUCGGGGCUUAUGUACAGGUGUUGCAUGGCUGUCGU